AUUGAACGCUGGCGGCAUGCCUUACACAUGCAAGUCGAACGGUAACGCGGGGCAACCUGGCGACGAGUGGCGAACGGGUGAGUAAUGCAUCGGAACGUGCCCAGUAGUGGGGGAUAACUGCUCGAAAGAGCAGCUAAUACCGCAUACGACCUGAGGGUGAAAGCGGGGGAUCGCAAGACCUCGCGCUAUUGGACCGGCCGAUGUCAGAUUAGGUAGUUGGUGGGGUAAAGGCCCACCAAGCCAACGAUCUGUAGCUGGUCUGAGAGGACGACCAGCCACAGUGAGACUGAGACACGGCCCAGACUCCUACGGGAGGCAGCAGUGGGGAAUUUUGGACAAUGGACGCAAGUCUGAUCCAGCCAUGCCGCGUGCGGGAAGAAGGCCUUCGGGUUGUAACCCGCUUUUGUCAGGGAAGAAACGCUCUGGGUUAAUACCUCGGGGUAAUGACGGUACCUGAAGAAUAAGCACCGGCUAACUACGUGCCAGCCGCCGCGGUAAUAC
rnacentral:rRNA from 1 species